rfam:Pseudocercospora fijiensis CIRAD86 unplaced genomic scaffold MYCFIscaffold_3, whole genome shotgun sequence.
GCUUUCUUGGUCUAAUGGUUAGGAUUGCCGCCUUCCAAGCGGCAGGUUCGGGUUCAAUUCCCGAAGGAAGCA